rnacentral:rRNA from 1 species
CCUACGGGAGGCAGCAGUGGGGAAUAUUGCACAAUGGGCGGAAGCCUGAUGCAGCGACGCCGCGUGAGGGAUGACGGCCUUCGGGUUGUAAACCUCUUUCAGCAGGGACGAAGCGCAAGUGACGGUACCUGCAGAAGAAGCGCCGGCCAACUACGUGCCAGCAGCCGCGGUAAGACGUAGGGCGCGAGCGUUGUCCGGAUUUAUUGGGCGUAAAGAGCUCGUAGGCGGCUUGUCGCGUCGACUGUGAAAUCCCGCGGCUCAACCGCGGGUCUGCAGUCGAUACGGGCAGGCUAGAGUUCGGUAGGGGAGACUGGAAUUCCUGGUGUAGCGGUGAAAUGCGCAGAUAUCAGGAGGAACACCGAUGGCGAAGGCAGGUCUCUGGGCCGAUACUGACGCUGAGGAGCGAAAGCGUGGGGAGCGAACAGGAUUAGAUACCCUGGUAGUCACGCUGUAAACGUUGGCGCUAGGUGUGGGGGACCUCUCCGGUUCUCUGUGCCGCGNGCUACGCAUAGCGCCCGCCGUCGGGAGGUACGGCCGCGACGACGUAAACCGUACGAACGUAGAGUAGACGGCGUGAGACGUGCCGACGGACGACGACGAGGGAGGAGGG